rnacentral:rRNA from 1 species
UACAGGGGGGGCAGCGUUGUUCGGAAUUACUGGGCGUAAAGGGUCUGUAGGUGGCCAACUAAGUCAGACGUGAAAUCCCUCAGCUUAACUGGGGAACUGCGUCUGAUACUGGAUGGCUUGAGUGUGGGAGAGGAAUGCGGAAUUCCAGGUGUAGCGGUGAAAUGCGUAGAUAUCUGGAGGAACACCGGUGGCGAAGGCGGCAUUCUGGACCUAACUGACACUGAGAGACGAAAGCCAGGGGAGCAAACGGG